CCUACGUGGGGCAGCAGUGAGGAAUAUUGGUCAAUGGACGAGAGUCUGAACCAGCCAAGUAGCGUGAAGGAUGACUGCCCUAUGGGUUGUAAACUUCUUUUAUAUGGGAAUAAAAUGUUCCACGUGUGGGAUUUUGUAUGUACCAUAUGACUAAGGAUCGGCUAACUCCGUGCCAGCAGCCUCUGUAAUACAGAGGCUCCGAGCGUUAUCCGGAUGUAUUGGGUUUAACGGGAGCGUAGGUGGAUUUUUAAGUCAGUUGUGAAAGUUUGCGGCUUAACCGUAAAAGUGCAGUUGAAACUGGAAGUCUUGAGUACAGUAGAGGUGGGCGGAAUUCGUGGUGUAGCGGUGAAAUGCUUAGAUAUCAAGAAGAA
rnacentral:rRNA from 1 species